AUUGAACGCUGGCGGCAUGCCUUACACAUGCAAGUCGAACGGUAACGGGUCCUUCGGGAUGCCGACGAGUGGCGAACGGGUGAGUAAUAUAUCGGAACGUGCCCAGUAGUGGGGGAUAACUGCUCGAAAGAGCAGCUAAUACCGCAUACGACCUGAGGGUGAAAGGGGGGGAUCGCAAGACCUCUCGCUAUUGGAGCGGCCGAUAUCAGAUUAGCUAGUUGGUGGGGUAAAGGCCUACCAAGGCAACGAUCUGUAGUUGGUCUGAGAGGACGACCAGCCACACUGGGACUGAGACACGGCCCAGACUCCUACGGGAGGCAGCAGUGGGGAAUUUUGGACAAUGGGCGCAAGCCUGAUCCAGCAAUGCCGCGUGCAGGAAGAAGGCCUUCGGGUUGUAAACUGCUUUUGUCAGGGAAGAAAUCUUCUGGGCUAAUACCCCGGGAGGAUGACGGUACCUGAAGAAUAAGCACCGGCUAACUACGUGCCAGCAGCCGCGGUAAUACGUAGGGUGCGAGCGUUAAUCGGAAUUACUGGGCGUAAAGCGUGCGCAGGCGGCUUUGCAAGACAGAUGUGAAAUCCCCGGGCUCAACCUGGGAGCUGCAUUUGUGACUGCAAGGCUAGAGUACGGCAGAGGGGGAUGGAAUUCCGCGUGUAGCAGUGAAAUGCGUAGAUAUGCGGAGGAACACCAAUGGCGAAGGCAAUCCCCUGGGCCUGUACUGACGCUCAUGCACGAAAGCGUGGGGAGCAAACAGGAUUAGAUACCCUGGUAGUCCACGCCCUAAACGAUGUCAACUGGUUGUUGGACGGCUUGCUGUUCAGUAACGAAGCUAACGCGUGAAGUUGACCGCCUGGGGAGUACGGCCGCAAGGUUGAAGCUCAAAGGAAUUGACGGGGACCCGCACAAGCGGUGGAUGAUGUGGUUUAAUUCGAUGCAACGCGAAAAACCUUACCUACCCUUGACAUGUCAAGAAUUCUGCAGAGAUGUGGAAGUGCUCGAAAGAGAACUUGAACACAGGUGCUGCAUGGCCGUCGUCAGCUCGUGUCGUGAGAUGUUGGGUUAAGUCCCGCAACGAGCGCAACCCUUGUCAUUAGUUGCAACGCAAGAGCACUCUAAUGAGACUGCCGGUGACAAACCGGAGGAAGGUGGGGAUGACGUCAGGUCCUCAUGGCCCUUAUGGGUAGGGCUACACACGUCAUACAAUGGCCGGUACAGAGGGCUGCCAACCCGCGAGGGGGAGCCAAUCCCAGAAAACCGGUCGUAGUCCGGAUCGUAGUCUGCAACUCGACUGCGUGAAGUCGGAAUCGCUAGUAAUCGCGGAUCAGCUUGCCGCGGUGAAUACGUUCCCGGGUCU
rnacentral:rRNA from 1 species